AUGGGUCAGCGACUUAUAUUCUGUAGCAAGGUUAACCGUAUAGGGGAGCCGAAGGGAAACCGAGUCUUAACCGGGCGUUAAGUUGCAGGGUAUAGACCCGAAACCCGGUGAUCUAGCCAUGGGCAGGUUGAAGGUUGGGUAACACUAACUGGAGGACCGAACCGACUAAUGUUGAAAAAUUAGCGGAUGACCUGUGGCUGGGGGUGAAAGGCCAAUCAAACCGGGAGAUAGCUGGUUCUCCCCGAAAGCUAUUUAGGUAGCGCCUCGUGAAUUCAUCUCCGGGGGUAGAGCACUGUUUCGGCUAGGGGGCCAUCCCGGCUUACCAACCCGAUGCAAACUGCGAAUACCGGAGAAUGUUAUCACGGGAGACACACGGCGGGUGCUAACGUCCGUCGUGAAGAGGGAAACAACCCAGACCGCCAGCUAAGGUCCCAAAGUCAUGGUUAAGUGGGAAACGAUGUGGGAAGGCCCAGACAGCCAGGAUGUUGGCUUAGAAGCAGCCAUCAUUUAAAGAAAGCGUAAUAGCUCACUGGUCGAGUCGGCCUGCGCG
rnacentral:rRNA from 1 species